UCCUCCCCCCUGCUGUCCUCUCCUCACACAUGGCUGCAUGACAGUUUUGUUAAACCAGUCUGUCCACCUUUUGCAAUAUCUUCUACUUCCAUGUGCACACAACUCUGCUGCACAUUUAUCUGAGCUGAUAAAAAGUGAAAAUGCUACGAAGAUUUUAAAAAGGAUAGGUCUGAGUUAAAGAUUUUUCUUUUUGCAAGAAGGAGCAGUCACAAACAGAGAUUCUGUAAGCAAGUGCUCAGAGGACUGUCCUCUAAAUUAUUUUUUUAGACACAGGGCGUGACAAGUUAACACGAGUCAAAUUGACAGCAUGCUCAUCCAUGAUAAGCUGCAUCUCUCAGGGUCAGAGCAGCAGAUAUCGACAGUAACAGUGUGUUGCACAGUAUACUUCUAUAAGAGCUGUUCUUAAAUUACCUUUGAUGACAUGAGUACAUGUACAAGGAUUGGAUAAGAAGAUAUUUGUACAGAGUCACCAUUUAUAGUUUCAACAAAGUAAAUGUUCAACAUCACAAUGCAAAGAAACUCUUUGCAGUCUGUUCAGCACAAUCCAAUAAGAGUAACCAAGCCCCAAUACAUCUGAAUGUCCAGCUGUGUGCACGACUUACAUAAAACACAUAAGAAUUGGAAAAGCACUCAGAGAGCGCAGACCUCCGCCAAGCAGCUCAUGUCCCCCCUUAUAUUGUGAUUCACACAGAAACUUUUACCAUUACGUGUCUUUUAUUAACUUUUAUUUGUGUUUAAACUGGUAUGUUCACUGUUCAUAAUGUUCCUAAAACAACAAAGCUCAUAUUAGAUACAUAAAUGCAUGAUUUAUUAUGCAAUAUUUGUAAGCGUACACUUCCUUGUAUCUUCAUUGGUUAUCUUUCGACGCCCUUAUUUUUGUGUGUUCUGGAUCACAGCAUCCGGAAUUUUGUCUGGAUCAGGAUCAACCUUUGACACUUCAUAAAACUCAUUGAGAUCCUUUUGUGUAAUUUUUUACUUAAGACUCUGGACAUUUUUAUAGAGUAAAAUGCAGAAAUUCCAAAAUUUGCCCGAUCUCACAAUGAUAAAGAAUCCUUCAAAAAAUUCCUGGAUCCAGAAGGCGAUCCGGAUCACCACCAAAAUUGGAAAUCCUCCUGGGGCUGAGACGCACCUCUGGUGAAAAUUUCAGGUCAAUCCGUCACUUUCUCCUUAAAGUUGCUAACAGACAAACAAACAAACAAACAAACAAACCAAUGCUACCAAAAACAUAACCUCCUUGGCGGAAGUAACUAAUGUGGGACUUUUAUGAGAUAGUCACAUGACAGUAUGUGUGUGCACUGACAUCUCUCCUGAUCCAUCCUUUCUCUCCCUCCAUAGUUUCACAUCCUGCACUGAAUGUGCAUCACUUAAUUAUGCAAAACUAAAAUAAUUUGUGGUUGUUAUCAUUUUAUGUCACACAUCUUUCCUCCUCUGAA